GACGAACGCUGGCGGCGUGCUUAACACAUGCAAGUCGAACGGAAAGGCCUGCUUUCCCUUGUGGAUUGCGGGUACUCGAGUGGCGAACGGGUGAGUAACACGUGAGUGAUCUGCCCCCAACUUGGGUAUAAGCCUGGGAAACUGGGUCUAAUUCCCGAUAGGACUGCAGGGUGGUGCCUGUGGUGGAAAACGAUUUUCUAGUGGUUGGGGAUGGGCUCGCGGCCUAUCAGCUUGUUGGUGGGGUAAUGGCCUACCAAGGCGGCGACGGGUAGCCGGCCUGAGAGGGUGGACGGCCACAUUGGGACUGAGAUACGGCCCAGACUCCUACGGGAGGCAGCAGUGGGGAAUAUUGCACAAGGGGCGGAAGCCUGAUGCAGCGACGCCGCGUGGGGGAUGACGGCCUUCGGGUUGUAAACUCCUUUCGACCGCGAGGAAGCCACCUGGUUGGAAGGGUGGUGACGGUAGUGGUAGAAGAAGCACCGGCUAACUACGUG
rnacentral:rRNA from 1 species